AGUAACGCGUGAGGAACCUGCCUUCCAGAGGGGGACAACAGUUGGAAACGACUGCUAAUACCGCAUGACACAUGACCGUGGCAUCACGGACAUGUCAAAGAUUUAUCGCUGGAAGAUGGCCUCGCGUCUGAUUAGCUGGUAGGCGGGGUAACGGCCCACCUAGGCGACGAUCAGUAGCCGGACUGAGAGGUAGACCGGCCACAUUGGGACUGAGAUACGGCCCAGACUCCUACGGGAGGCAGCAG
rnacentral:rRNA from 1 species